rnacentral:tRNA from 1 species
GGCGCUAUAGUGUAGUGGUUAUCACUUGGGAUUCUGACUGACCGUCCUUCCCAAAACCCAGGUUCGAGCCCUGGUAGCGCCU